CCUACGGGAGGCUGCAGUGGGGAAUAUUGCACAAUGGGCGCAAGCCUGAUGCAGCCAUGCCGCGUGUGUGAAGAAGGCCUUCGGGUUGUAAAGCACUUUCAGCGGGGAGGAAGGCGUUAAGGUUAAUAACCUUGGCGAUUGACGUUACCCGCAGAAGAAGCACCGGCUAACUCCGUGCCAGCAGCCGCGGUAAUACGGAGGGUGCAAGCGUUAAUCGGAAUUACUGGGCGUAAAGCGCACGCAGGCGGUCUGUCAAGUCGGAUGUGAAAUCCCCGGGCUCAACCUGGGAACUGCAUUCGAAACUGGCAGGCUAGAGUCUUGUAGAGGGGGGUAGAAUUCCAGGUGUAGCGGUGAAAUGCGUAGAGAUCUGGAGGAAUACCGGUGGCGAAGGCGGCCCCCUGGACAAAGACUGACGCUCAGGUGCGAAAGCGUGAGGAGCAAACAGGAUUAGAUACCCUAGUAGUC
rnacentral:rRNA from 1 species